CUGCACUCUUGAGAUAGCUCUGUCUUGAAAGUGGAAAGCUCAUGAAGAUCUGCGGGAACUGAUGUCAUAUCUGCAGCUGUGUUACAGUAUAUCUGCAUGAACAAUUAAGGAAGAUAUAUGUAUCAUUCAGAAUUGGGUUUCACCAAAAAUUCUUGAAUUGAAUCCAAGCCUAACAUUUGCAAGAGAGCAUCAUCUGAACUUUGGAGUUUUAUUCCCGAGGCUGCCCUGAAGCAAACAGAGAGUGUUGUAACUGAACAUCCAUUAAGCACUACGCAAACAAAUUAUCGGCUUGUUUCAAGAGUCACGGAAAUAACAAAAUCCGAUUU
rnacentral:lncRNA from 1 species